UGGCUCAGAGCGAACGCUGGCGGAAUGCUUAACACAUGCAAGUCGUACGGGCAGCUUCGGCUGUCAGUGGCGGACGGGUGAGUAACGCGUAGGAACGUGUCCUGUGAUGGGGGAUAACGCUGGGAAACUGGCGCUAAUACCGCAUAUCUCCUGAGGGGGAAAGCCGCGAGGCGUCAUGGGAGCGGCCUGCGUCCGAUUAGGUAGUUGGUGGGGUAAAGGCCUACCAAGCCAUCGAUCGGUAGCUGGUCUGAGAGGAUGAUCAGCCACACUGGGACUGAGACACGGCCCAGACUCCUACGGGAGGCAGCAGUGGGGAAUAUUGGACAAUGGGCGCAAGCCUGAUCCAGCAAUUCCGCGUGGGUGAAGAAGGGUCUUCGGGGAUUGUAAAGCCCUUUCGGGCAGGGGACGAUGAUGACGGGUACCUGCAGAAGAAAGCCCCGGGCUAACUUCGUGCCAGCCGCCGCCGUAAAC
rnacentral:rRNA from 1 species